GGCCUGGUGGUCUAGAGGUAUGAUUCCUUCUUAGGGCCCGUGUUUAAACACAGAUCAUGCUUGUAUGGAGGAGGUCCCGGGUUCAAUUCCCGGCUAGGCCC